GACGAACGCUGGCGGCGUGCUUAACACAUGCAAGUCGAACGCUGAAGCUCAGCUUGCUGGGUGGAUGAGUGGCGAACGGGUGAGUAACACGUGAGUAACCUGCCCUCUUCUUUGGGAUAACGCCCGGAAACGGGUGCUAAUACUGGAUAUUCACUGAUUCUCGCAUGGGGGUUGGUGGAAAGGUUUUUUCUGGUGGGGGAUGGGCUCGCGGCCUAUCAGCUUGUUGGUGGGGUGAUGGCCUACCAAGGCUUUGACGGGUAGCCGGCCUGAGAGGGUGACCGGUCACAUUGGGACUGAGAUACGGCCCAGACUCCUACGGGAGGCAGCAGGGGGGGAUAUUGCACAAUGGGCGAAAGCCUGAUGCAGCGACGCCGCGUGAGGGAUGGAGGCCUUCGGGUUGGAAACCUCUUUCGCUCAUGGUCAAGCCGCAGCUUUGGGUUGUGGUGAGGGUAGUGGGUAAAGAAGCGCCGGCUAACUACGUG
rnacentral:rRNA from 1 species